GUUCCUGUAGUGUAGUGGUUAUCACCUUUGCUUUACACACAAUAGGUCUCUGUUUCAAAACCAGACAGAAAUG
rnacentral:tRNA from 1 species